rnacentral:rRNA from 1 species
UACGUAGGGGGCAAGCGUUGUCCGGAAUCAUUGGGCGUAAAGCGCGCGUAGGCGGCCCGGUAAGUCCGUUGUGAAAGUCAAAGGCUCAACCUUUGAACGCCGAUGGAUACUGCCGGGCUAGAGUCCGGAAGAGGCGAGUGGAAUCCUGGUGUAGCGGUGGAAUGCGCAGAUAUCAGGAGGAACACCAAUAGCGAAGGCAGCUCGCUGGAACGGAACUGACGCUGAGGCGCGAAAGCAUGGGGAGCGAACAGG